UUGACAUACAAUCAAAACUCC
ensembl:piRNA 21ur-2563 ncRNA